rnacentral:rRNA from 1 species
AGCUUCCGUUAAUUGAUUAUGACGUACUUGUACUGAUUGAGAUUUUAACACGAAGUGAGUGGCGAACGGGUGAGUAACACGUGGGUAACCUGCCCAGAAGUAGGGGAUAACACCUGGAAACAGAUGCUAAUACCGUAUAACGGAGAAAACCGCAUGGUUUUCUUUUAAAAGAUGGCUCUGCUAUCACUUCUGGAUGGACCCGCGGCGUAUUAGCUAGUUGGUGAGGUAAAGGCUCACCAAGGCAGUGAUACGUAGCCGACCUGAGAGGGUAAUCGGCCACAUUGGGACUGAGACACGGCCCACACUCCUACGGGAGGCAGCAGUAGGGAAUCUUCCACAAUGGACGCAAGUCUGAUGGACCAACGCCGCGUGAGUGAAGAAGGGUUUCAGCUCGUAAAGCUCUGUUGUUAAAGAAGAACGUGGGUAAGUAGUAACUGUUUACCCAGUGACGGUAUUUAACCAGAAAGCCACGGCUAACUACAUGCCAGCAGCCGCGGUAAUACGUAGGUGGCAAGCGUUAUCCGGAUUUAUUGGGCGUAAAGCGAGCGCAGGCGGUCUUUUAAGUCUAAUGUGAAAGCAUUCGGCUCAACCGAAGAAGGGCAUUGACAAACUGGGNAGACUUGAGUGCAGAAGAGGACAGUGGAACUCCAUGUGUAGCGGUGAAAUGCGUAGAUAUAUGGAAGAACACCAGUGGCGAAGGAGGCUGUGCUCGUCUGCAACUGACGCUGAGGCUAGAAAGCAUGGGUAGCGAACAGGAUUAGAUACCCUGGUAGUCCAUGCCGUAAACGAUGAUUACUAAGUGUCGGAGGGUUUCCGCCCUUCAGUGCUGCAUGCUAAACGUCAUUAUAGUNAAUGCCGUCCUNNGGGGAGUAUCGACGCGCAAGGUUGAAACUCAAAAGAAUUGACGGGGGCCCGCACAAGCGGUGGAGCAUGUGGUUUAAUUCGAAGCUACGCGAAGAACCUUACCAGGUCUCGACAUCUUCUGACAGUCUAACAGAUUAGAGGUUCCCUUCGGGGACAGAAUGACAGGUGGUGCAUGGUUGUCAUCAGCUCCUGUCGUGAAAUGUUGGGUUAAGUCCCGCAACGAGCGCNAUCCCUUAUUACUAAUUGCCAGCAUUAAGUUGGGCACUCUAGUGAGACUGCCGGUGACAAACCGGAAGAAAGGGGGGGACAACGUCAAAUCAUCAUGCCCCUUAUGACCUGGGGUACACACGUGCUACAAUGGAUGGUACAACGAGUCGCGAGACCGCGAGGUUAAGCUAAUCUCUUAAAACCAUUCUCAGUUCGGACGGUAGGCUGCAACUCGCCUACUCGAAGUCGG